AAUCCGCACGUAAUAAAAGCAAUCAGGUGAAAGGAACGAUAGGGGAGUGGGAACGGCCACACGCCUGGAACUUGCGACACAGUAGCUGCCCGGAUUACUGACUGCAACUUUGGGGUCUCCAGCUGCUCUAUUACAGCCCCUAGUAUCCCAGGACAGACGCUGGAAGUUGUAGUUAAUCAGAAGGCUUCACUAAAAGCCUAAUUCAGAAUUCGUUCUACUGCCCAUUUACUGCACACAUCAUCCACCAUAAAGGCAACUGCCUAUCAAACCACACCGGCGCCAGCAGCUGGGGGAGCGAUUGUGUCGCGAUGGGGAAAAAAACCAGCAUCAUCGGAGAUUCCAAUAGACCUGUUUGAAAUGGUAGUCAUUUUCCAGCGGCUCCCGAACGCACGACGUUCCGCCACUGGUCGAUAUGAUGUGACAAGGCUGGGAUUCAUAUUUGGCAUCCAAUCUGGAAAAAAAUAAUUCUUUUUACUAAGUGGAAAAGGAAAAGAGAAAGCUGAAGUGGAGCUUAAGAAGAGUAAAUAUAUGGCAUGUAUAUAUUGGCAAACUGGGAUGGGUACUUUAUGGUGAACCAGUGACUCAAACACAUCGUGACUUUCCCUGGAUAUGAUUUGUUUAACAGCUGGCUAAGAGACUGUGAUUUACUGCAUUGUAUUCCUUGGGAAACUACCAAUUUGCUAAGGUUUCUGGUAAAUUGGCUAAAAUUAACCUUUUUUUUACAACCUUCCUAUUGAAUGUGGCAUCAUAAAUGAAGAGAGAACAUUAACAGGUGGGAUGAAUUAAGCUUCUCCGGUAGCACUAAAGACAGUUUAUACAGUUCUAAAGUCAAUUUAUACAGUAAGCCGAACACAAUAUCCAUAUAAUUGGCCUUGGAGUUAUCUUUGGAAUAUGUCAUCUGUUUGAUUCUGGUGCUGUUUGUUAGGGAAAGCUGCUAUAUCACCAAAGCAGGUGUUGACUGUAAGGCGCUUGGGCUAGACUGGGCUGUAGUUAAGCUUCUGUUUAAACAUGUCUGCAUACUGUAUCCAGUCCCAAAGGAUAAUUACUGUUAUAAUAAAUGGCGGUGGUUUCCUGGACCAGGAAAUGUUCUAUGAAAAUGGCUUGGGCUCUAGAUUUAAACAGGAUGUGUGAGCACUAAAGUUCCUCAGUGGAACAAAUGGCAAAGACGUUCUCCUCUCAAUGACAUCAUAACGUGGUCAUAUAUGCUAAUUGUAUCAAGAUGGAGAUUCGGGAAGGAAAGCCAUUUGUUUUCUGUUAUUAUCGCCCUUCUGUGGCUGCAUUUAUUGGGUAUUCCAGUGACAUUUUUACAAGAAUUACUGUUGAACUGAAGAAACGUUCUUAAUACAAAUUUAGUGCCUUUUAAUUGUAUUAUUAUAUUUUCCCUUUGCUAAUGUGCGGAUUGUAGCGCACAGGACACUAUUAAAAAAUAAUAGGAAAGGAGGAGAAUGGGGAUACCUCUGUAUAAACUUAUGUAACAUAUUUUUCUAUUUUAAAGUCUAUUUUAGAGACUUUAUUUGCCGCCCCUGUUAACUUUGGGGGCGCUGUUAUCUGAGGUGAGUUUCUCAACUCGUCUCAUGACAGCAGCGCCGCUGGGCCCACAUAUUAGAAAGUUUAGGGACCCCCCCCGCCCUAGACUUACAGUCUUUACAUCUGUUACGUGGACAAUAAAAUACUGUUGGUAGCAUUUGGUUCAUCUUGAAUGAGAACUGAACUUUGUCUUUAUGACCUCUAUAAUACAAAGUUCAGGGUGCCAGGAGUAGUUGGUGCCUUCUUGUAAUUCAACAUAUAUUCGGCCUUGACCUUCUCCUAGAGAGAAAGAGGUGUCCUUGAGAGUAUCUAAGGGUAUAACAACAAAGGGAGUAAUUCCAGCAGAUACACAGGAGCUCAGGAGUAUCAAAGGUCAUGUAGAAGCCCUGGUUCAUGUGAUUAUAAUAAAUAUCUGCAAAAUAGAUAAUCUUCCCUAAAGUCUGAGCGAUGGGGUGUCUCAAAAACUGGGUAUUCAUGAUCAUGGCACCCAUGCCACUUUCUUGUGAUUAUUCAGGCCCUCUGUCUAUUUGGAACCCUUCAAAGGAUAUUUAUGGCACCCAUUCUGCAGAGGAAUCCACAGGCUUCCCUACAGGACUUCAUCAUUUUAUUAUGUCCCUCAUAUACUACACCAAAAAAAGAAAUAUGGACAGCAGUGGUGUAAGGUAUAUGGGAUAAUAAAAUAAGUGUUUGGUUUAAGCCCUAAGAUUUUAAGGAUAAUUUUAAAGUUGUUUGUAAAUGUAAUUGCUAUAGACACCAGUCUCUGUCUCUUGCUGCUCUCUGCACUGCUGGCCCUGAUUAUUAAAACAAUGCAGAAGAAACCAGCUGAUUACCAGACCUGGAAACUGGAGUCUUGGCUGGAGGGGAGCUGGGUCCUGCUACAUUGUGUCAAUAGUUCCAACUUUAAAAUCAUUAAACAUUUUUAGUGAUGCAUAAUGGAAAAUUGCUCAAGCUAACAUUUUCUUUCAUUGGGCAAAAUUUUAAUAAAGUAUAUAUAAAUAUAUUAUUGAUAGGGUAUUUUGAUUAGAGAUGGAAGGGUUCACGCUUUUGGUGGCCUAAUAAGGGCAAAUGUUAAAGCAGGGAAUCUCAUUUCAAAUCCAGUGUUUCAACCCUUGUUGUCAGCAGUAAUGCCAAAGGCAACUAGAACAAAUGCUAAGCUUAAAAAUCACUCUACCUGUCUUUUCUAAGGUCAUUCACCAUUUGUUCUUCUCAAAGACAUGCACACACACUAACAGUGACAAUAAAAUACAAAAAGGGACAAUAAAACGGCUAUAAAGGCACACCUGCAGCAAUAUUAAGAUACAAUAAAACAUUUAUUAUGCUCUUGCUAUUAGCCAAAACUUUGUUCUUACA